rnacentral:lncRNA from 1 species
CAAGACUCAACGACCGGGCAAAAUUGGUCUUUCUUAAGUCUUUGCUUUGUUCUCGUUACACGACAACAAGCAAAGAGGGGCAGCUGUACAACCCCAAUUUUGGGCCAAAAAUCCUUAAAACCUACCUAGCCUAAAACCCACAACCCACUAAACCUAACAGAAGCCCAAACAACCAAAACCUACCCAAAACUAAUCCCAAUCUGACCCAACUAGCCCAAAAAUUU